rnacentral:rRNA from 1 species
AAAAAAAAACACGUGAGUAACCUGCCCUUGACUUUGGGAUAACUUCAGUAAACUGUGGCUAAUACCGGAUAGGAGCUCCUGCUGCAUGGUGUUGUUUGGAAAGUUUCGGCGGUUGGGUAUGGACUCUCGGCUUAUCAGCUUGUUGGUGGGUUAGUGGCUUACCAAGGCUUUGUCGGGUAGCCGGCCUGAGAGGGUGACCGGACACAUUUGGACUGAGAUACGGACCAGAAUGAUAUGGGAGGUAGGAGUGGGGAAUAUUGAAUAAUGGGCGGACGGCUGAUGUAGCAAUUUUUUUUUUUUUAAAUGCGCCGGCGACCACCGAACUCUACACUCGUU